rnacentral:rRNA from 1 species
GACGAACGCUGGCGGCGUGCCUAAUACAUGCAAGUAGAACGCUGAAGAGAGGAGCUUGCUCUUCUUGGAUGAGUUGCGAACGGGUGAGUAACGCGUAGGUAACCUGCCUUGUAGCGGGGGAUAACUAUUGGAAACGAUAUCUAAUACCGCAUAACAAUGGAUGACACAUGUCAUUUAUUUGAAAGGGGCAAUUGCUCCACUACAAGAUGGACCUGCGUUGUAUUAGCUAGUAGGUGAGGUAACGGCUCACCUAGGCGACGAUACAUAGCCGACCUGAGAGGGUGAUCGGCCACACUGGGACUGAGACACGGGCCAGACUCCUACGGGAGGCAGCAGUAGGGAAUCUUCGGCAAUGGGGGCAACCCUGACCGAGCAACGCCGCGUGAGUGAAGAAGGUUUUCGGAUCGUAAAGCUCUGUUGUAAGUCAAGAACGAGUGUGAGAGUGGAAAGUUCACACUGUGACGGUAGCUUAACAGAAAGGGACGGCUAACUACGUG